UUGGAGUAAGUUUAGUUACCAGGACAUUGCAUGGCAGAGCGGGUCUGCGGUGGAUUUUAAGGGGCUUGGAGGCAAGCACGCGAUGCCCAUUUCACUGCGCAAAGAAGCUUUGCUUUCUUAGAUGAAGGUCUUGGCACUGUGACUACAAGCGAAGCUGUUGGUUUUGGGAGGGAAUAAAGCUGCGUGUAAAUGAGAAGAGAGGAGUGUACCGGAGUGCUAUGGAGGGCAGCAACUUUGUUGUGAUUUUUACAAGCCUUCAAGGAAGUUCCAUGGAGUUGGACUAAAAUAAAGUUUUGGGAUGUCUCUAUUUGGAUUGAAAUUUGGAAAGAAGAAACUGAAAGAGGAAGAGAGACAACUUCAAGCAAACAACCGGG
rnacentral:lncRNA from 1 species